GUGUCAGCAGCCGCGGUAAUACGGGGGGUGCAAGCGUUAUUCGGAUUUACUGGGCGUAAAGCGCGCGUAGGCGGCCGUUUAAGUCAGAUGUGAAAGCCCGGGGCUCAACCCCGGAAGUGCAUUUGAUACUAUUCGGCUUGAGUAUGGGAGAGGGAAGUGGAAUUCCUGGUGUAGAGGUGAAAUUCGUAGAUAUCAGGAGGAACACCGGUGGCGAAGGCGACUUCCUGGACCAAUACUGACGCUGAGGCGCGAAAGCGAGGGGAGCAAACAGGAUUAGAAACCCCAGUAGUCC
rnacentral:rRNA from 1 species